GUCAGUACCCUGUCUAGCCUGCCAGACAUUUGAGAGGGUGAAGACUGUUGAGCCGGAGCUGAAGCCCAUCAAAGUUGUUUCACCAUGGCACAUGAUCGGUUUGGUGAAUGGACCAACCAGACCCUCAAGACUACCAUGGGCAAAUCCCUUGAUUGGUACCAGGAAGGGUGGUCGAUCAACCUGAAGGUGAGACUGAACAUCGACAAGACUCAGGAGAAACUGAAGGGGAGCUACCGGAGCAGAAUCAAGAAGGGGACCAAGUGCUACGACAUCCAGGCAAGAAGGAUGAAAGGAAGGACGAAAAGAAGGACGAAAGGAAGGAUGAAAAGAAGGCGAGACCUGGGAAACUUUGCUGCUUUUCGCUCCUAGCUGGGGUCACCAUCUGUUAAAGUGAAUAAUACUGCCUCACAAAAUGGAAGCAGCAGGAAAUCAGAAUCAUCUCCUAGACGGUCGACGAGCAAGGAUAUCUACUUCGUCAACAGCAAGACCAACUGGCACAACUGGGGACGGCUAUGGAAGAGGUUCUUCGCAGUGUUCAACGUCUCGAACAUACCUGAGACGCGUUGCCUUCUACUACUGGAGGGUAGUCGACCCAGCGAGCCAGCCCAUUUAGCAACCCGCCCAGGUCAACAAUGCCCGUUUGUCCCUUCCAGAUAAAUAUGACGGCACAUCAUCUAAAUGCCCUGGCUUCCUACUACAGUGCUCCCUCUACUUUGUGCACCAGAUGGGAGACCCCACGACCGAGAGGUCCAAGGUUGGAGGGCGCAAAGGACCCAUUCGUCAUCCUCACCGACCAUCAGAACCUGAGGUACAUAUGGACAACGAGGAGGCUGACUCCACGCGAUGUAAGGUGGGCUCUUUUCUUUAUGAGAUUUGACCUCACGCUAACCUAUUGCCCAAGUUCAAAGAACACCAAAGCCGAUGCCCUGUCCCGUCUCUACGAUUCUGGAGAGGCUCCUGUCCAGAAUGUAUCCAUAAACCCUUCCUCUCGAGUCGUAGCCCCUGUGGUCUGGGACGUAGAUGUGGACAUUCGCCAGGCUCUGGAGAGGGAGCCCGCACCCACUACCUGUCCUCCUGAGUGCAUGUACGUUCCCAUGGGGUUUAAGGGAUGGGUUGCUGACCUGGGUGCACACAGCUGUCGUCGCUGAACAUCCAGGUACUUCUCAUACUACUCAAUCUGUCUCCGAGAAGUAUUGGUGGCCUACCUUGGCGCAGGACGUUAUUCGCUACAUCAACUCAUGUUCCUCAUGUUAUGUGCUCAAACCAAAUCCUCCCGGCAUGCUCCAGCAGGGAAACUCCUUCCCGUGCUUCAUGGUGAGAUGCCGUAGUCACUGGGAAGCUGUAACCUAUAGGUCACCUCCUUGACCUUGAACGGCCCCACAAACCGGGGGCUCAGCUUCUUGCUGGGCAGAAGGAGUGGGAGGAUCCUGGUAGAGAUCCAGACACAAUCCCCUGGAUGGAACGCCCUACACUUCUGUGAAGCCCAAUAGACAAAGAUCGACUGUCUGAUUCCCCCAGGAGGUAUCCCGUCCACCAGAACCAGUGAGUUCGAAUCAGUCUGAUUGUGCUCUGAGUUGGAGGGGGAACAGCUUGAGGACCUGGGGUUCUGCCCAACACCCAGACGUGGAUCCACCUGAUGUCCUCCAUU